rnacentral:lncRNA from 1 species
UUAACUUGAAGUUAUAAAGGUCGUUUGGCCAUUACUAACAAAAAUACGAAAUUUGAUAAAUGGGCUUUAAUACAUGUUAGAAGACAGAUCCAUAUUUAAAUCAAAUGCCAACAAAAAUAAGGACAACCAUAACCACCAACAACUACCUUCGUCACAAGAAACCACUACGACUGCCACCACCAAACACACCAACAAUACCCAACCCACAACCUCACCAACACCACCCACAUUGCCCCUACCAACAUUGACACUUCCACCACCGCCAAAAACCACCACGACCACCACCACCAAACACACCAACAAAACAUAACCACCACCACCCUCGCCACCUCACAACAACUGAUCAACAAGUGGCGCAUUAGUAGAGCCACAACCACAGAGAUUGGUUAACAAAAGGCCAUUCGAGGCCAUCUUCAUUGCUGCAGGGAGCGUCGAUCUGAGGCCAAACACAAUUCGUCGUAGCGAUGUUCAGAUCCAAGCACCGGGAUAGAGAGCCAAGCAUCACCACAAAUCCAAGCACCGACACAGAGAGCUAAGCAUCACCACAGCGUAGAAGGUGGUGGGAUCCUAGAGAAGGUGAUCGACACAGCGCUGUAAUGAUGAUACCAAAGUCACGGUGCUUAGAUUUCGCGGCGACGCUCAUCGCAGUGAGGCAAGGCGAGCAGUACUCAUAUUUACCGGUGCUUUAGAGAGAAUGAAGGUAGAGAGAAACACAGGACCACGCACACACCUUCGACGUGGAUCACCUAACCUACAACAGAGACAUGGAGAUGGGAGAGGAGAGAGUGAAGAGAGAGAGG